GUGCUCACUUCGGCAGCACACAUACUAAAAUUGGAACAAUACAAAGAAGAUUAGCAUGGACCCUGCACCAAGAUGAUGCACAAAUUUGUGAAGCAUUCCAUAUUUGU